UAGACGGUCACAUGUAAACGAACGCCGAAUGUGGGUAAAGAAAGUCGCGAUGAAGCAGCAAAUUGAAAGGGCCUGCGGUCCUAGGCCUGAAAACUCGAGGGCCAAUGCAGAUAA